rnacentral:piRNA from 1 species
UCUUCCUUUGUACUUAUCAAG